UACGUAGGUGGCAAGCGUUGUCCGGAUUUAUUGGGUUUAAAGGGUGCGUAGGCGGUCUUUUAAGUCAGUGCUGAAAUACUCCAGCUUAACUGGAGGGGUGGCAUUGAUACUGGGAGACUUGAGUGUAGUCGAGGUAGGCGGAAUUGACGGUGUAGCGGUGAAAUGCUUAGAUAUCGUCAAGAACACCGAUAGUGAAGACAGCUUACUAGGCUACAACUGACGCUGAGGCACGAAAAGUGUGGGGAUCAAACAGG
rnacentral:rRNA from 1 species